rnacentral:rRNA from 1 species
UACAGAGGUCUCAAGCGUUGUUCGGAUUCACUGGGCGUAAAGGGUGCGUAGGUGGCGGGGCAAGUCUGACGUGAAAUCUCCGGGCUUAACCCGGAAAUGGCGUUGGAAACUGCCUUGCUAGAGGAUUGGAGGGGAGACUGGAAUACUUGGUGUAGCAGUGAAAUGCGUAGAUAUCAAGUGGAACAUCAGUGGCGAAGGCGAGUCUCUGGACAAUUCCUGACACUGAGGCACGAAAGCUAGGGGAGCAAACGGG